rnacentral:rRNA from 1 species
GCUGGGGUUCCACCUCGCUUGUGCAGCCCGCCGUUGCGUCUGGUCGGGUGUCUUUAAACGGAUGCCCGUCUUUGGACGUGACCCCUUUACCUUGAACAAAUCGGAGUGCUCAAAGCACGCUCCCUUCGCUCGAACGGUAGCGCAUGGAAUAAUGGAAAAGGACCCGCUUUCUUUUCUGUUGGUCUCGAGAAGGCAGGUAAUGAUCAAGAGGGACGGACGGGGGCAGAGGUAUGGCUCGGCGAGAGGUGAAAUUCUUGGACCCCAGCCAGACCCUCGAGAGCGAAAGCAUCUGCCAAGGAUGUUUCCAUUGAUCAAGAAUGAAAGUCGCGGGAUCGAAGCGGAUUAGAGACCCGGACGUAGUCGCGACCGUAAACGAUGCCAACCGGGAAUUUGACAGCGUUACUUCCAUGACCUGCCAAGCGCCCGACCCGGAAACCGAGAGUUUUUGGGUUCCGGGGGAGUAUGGUUGCAAAGCUGAAACUUAAAGGAAUUGACGGAAGGGCACCACCAGGAGUGGAGCCUGCGGCUUAAUUUGACUCAACACGGGGAACCUCACCCGGCCCGGACACCGCGAGGAUUGACAGACUGAGAGCUCUUUCUCGAUUCGGUGGGUGGUGGUGCAUGGCCGUUCUUAGUUGGUGGAGCGAUCUGUCUGGUUAAUUCCGAUAACGAACGAGACCCCAUCCUGCUAACUAGCCCUCGGGUCCGGCUUCUGGCGGGCCCGAUGGAAUGACUCGCUUCUUAGAGGGACUCGCGGCGCCUAGCCGCACGAAGGGGGGCGAUAACAGGUCUGUGAUGCCCUUAGAUGUUCGGGGCUGCACGCGCGCUACACUGAAGGCACCAGCGUGCGCUUUGUCCGUUCCCUGCCUGAAAAGGCCGGGUAACCCGCUGAACCGCCUUCGUGCCUGGGAUAGGGAUUUGCAAUUAUCUCCCUUGAACGAGGAAUUCCCAGUAGGCGCGAGUCAUCAGCUCGCGUCGAUUACGUCCCUGCCCUUUGUACACACCGCCCGUCGCUACUACCGAU